GUCUAGUUAGCUUGGAGGGUAGAGCGUCUGCCUUGUAAGCAAUAGGCUGUGGGUUCGAUUCCUGCCCGGGGCG
rnacentral:tRNA from 1 species